GAUGAACGCUGGCGGCGUGCCUAAUACAUGCAAGUCGAGCGAACAGAUGAGGAGCUUGCUCCUCUGACGUUAGCGGCGGACGGGUGAGUAACACGUGGAUAACCUACCUAUAAGACUGGGAUAACUUCGGGAAACCGGAGCUAAUACCGGAUAAUAUAUUGAACCGCAUGGUUCAAUAGUGAAAGACGGUUUUGCUGUCACUUAUAGAUGGAUCCGCGCCGCAUUAGCUAGUUGGUAAGGUAACGGCUUACCAAGGCAACGAUGCGUAGCCGACCUGAGAGGGUGAACAGCCACACUGGAACUGGGACACGGUCCAGACUCCUACGGGAGGCAGCAGUAGGGAAUCUUCCGCAAUGGGCGAAAGCCUGACGGAGCAACGCCGCGUGAGUGAUGAAGGUCUUCGGAUCGUAAAACUCUGUUAUUAGGGAAGAACAAAUGUGUAAGUAACUAUGCACGUCUUGACGGUACCUAAUCAGAAAGCCACGGCUAACUACGUG
rnacentral:rRNA from 1 species